rnacentral:tRNA from 2 species
GGCCUCGUAGCUCAGUGGAUAGAGCAUCUGCCUUCUAAGCAGAGGGUCGCAGGUUCGAAUCUUGCCGAGGUCA